UCACGUUUCCUAGAUCCCUAAGGUCUUCCAAUCCUAAGGGUCUCUAGGUCCAUUCCUAUUCUUUCACUCUUGGCUCUGAUACCACGAUAUCUGUCACGCCCCGAGACCGAUACCAAUUUGGGCCGGCCCGAGCACGUCAAACAGACGCCGAACGGACAGAGUUUUCCCUGUCCGCCCAAGGCUCAUCACAUGUACAUUUUCAAACAAGAAGUG
rnacentral:lncRNA from 1 species